UGCUUAACACAUGCAAGUCGCACGGUUGGGGGAGACCCUGGCAGUGGCGGACGGGUGAGGAACGCGUAGGGAUCUGUCCUGGGAUGGGGGAUAACCGUGGGAAACUACGGCUAAUACCGCAUGGGGCCUGAGGGUCAAAGACAAUCGCUGGAAGGCGGUUGUUGUCUUGGGGGGAGCCUGCGUCCGAUUAGCUAGUUGGUGGGGUAAAGGCCUACCAAGGCUGCGAUCGGUAGCUGGUCUGAGAGGAUGAUCAGCCACACUGGGACUGAGACACGGCCCAGACUCCUACGGGAGGCAGCAGUGGGGAAUAUUGGACAAUGGGCGCAAGCCUGAUCCAGCAAUGCCGCGUGGGUGAAGAAGGUCUUCGGAUUGUAAAGCCCUUUCGGUGGGGACGAUGAUGACGGUACCCGCAGAAGAAGCCCCGGCUAACUUCGUGCCAGCAGCCGCGGUAAU
rnacentral:rRNA from 1 species